rnacentral:lncRNA from 1 species
CCUCUCCUAAACUCCAUUAUUGGUUUUGUCUCUCUAGAGGACCCUAAUACACUGCCCAGCAGAAGCCAGGAAGGAAGCCCUGCCAGCUCAGAAGGUGGGCCAGGAGAGAAGGGUGUGGCCGGAAGGGUAGCCGGUGGGGGUGCUGCAUCCUCUUGGCCCCACGGGGAGCACCCUGUCACCCCUAACAGAUGAAGAGAAGGUGAGGGGGGAUUGAGUUACCUGCCCACUGGUGUGUCAAACUCCAUGAUGGGGGUGGGAACAUGCAGACCUGGCCCCUCCAAGGCCCACUGCUCCCCGGGCUGUGCGCCCCACAGUCUGUGCCAGGGGCUGCAGAAAGAGCCAUGGGAAGCCUGGCCCUGGUAGGGCACCAAGAUGGGGAGGGCUGGAUCCACCCUCCAGAGAACAAGAAUCCUGGGCAGUAGCCGGGACAUGGUGGGGGAGGCUGAAGGGUUGUCCCUGAGCAUCCCCAACAUGGAGCUCGGAAGUCUGGGCCAUGGGCAGGAAAGCACGAAGGUCAGGGCCAGCCUGGGGAACCAAGAGCUGUGCCACGAUCCCUUCCACCUGGGGCAGCUGCCCACAUGCCCGCCACUGGGUUCCAUCACCUGAGACUCCUGGCAGGUGCCUCUCUGAGUCUUUGUCCUGUGCUGGAAACUGGGAUGUGCAGCACACAUCUUCACACCCACAGCACGGACAGCGGGAAUAACACUUCCUUUGGGGAUCCAGGGUUUCUGGUGUCUCCAGAUUUUUCAGGCGCCACCAUGUUCCUCUCAUCCAGACGUCAGCACCCAAGGUGGAAGCAGGUCAUGGCAUGCCCGGCCCAGCUGCAGUCCGAGUGCAGAUCCCAUGGCGAGCGUGGGAUCCAGCCCAAAGCACAAGCCACGCACAGCCCGCCAGGUUGAGUGGGCAGGUACCUCCAACAGCCAGCCCAGGUUGAGUGGGCAGGUACCUCCAACAGCCUGGAGCCGUGAGGCCUUGCGCAGGGGCGUUGCCGGCCGUGGAGGUCUCUGGCUGGCAAAGUGGCACCGAAAGAGUCCUGUGUCAUAACCAGACUCACUUGUAGCUUCUGUUGCUCUCCCUAGCUAUUUGCAAAGCAUCCAGGAUAGGUUCAUCUAAAGACAUUCUGACUCAUCUUGGACACGAUCCACUUACUCUGUGGACCCUGUUCACAGAACCUGGAGUCCCUGCUCACCUUCCCCAACCCCUUAUUGCUGGGUCAUGUUCACAAGUUUCUGUCUCUUUUUGUUCCCAGUCCCGGUACCAGCUCAGGUCCAAUCAGCUUCUGAACCUCUACUGUGCAGCGCCUGAGACAGGGUGGGAGAGACACCGACAGUAAAGCUCAGCCAGGUGCAGACUGCAGCCUGGAAGCAAAGGCUGAGACAGGGUGGGAGAGACACCGACAGUAAAGCUCAGCCAGGUGCAGACUGCAGCCUGGAAGCAAAGGCUGAGACAGGGUGGGAGAGACACCGACAGUAAAGCUCAGCCAGGUGCAGACUGCAGCCUGGAAGCAAAGGCUGAGACAGGGUGGGAGAGACACGGACAGUAAAGCUCAGCCAGGUGCAGACUGCAGAAUGGAAGCAAAGGCUGAGACAGAGUGGGAGAGACACCGACAGUAAAGCUCAGCCAGGUGCAGACUGCAGCGUGGAAGCAAAGGCUGAGACAGGGUGGGAGAGACACGGACAGUACGCUCAGCCAGGUGCAGACUGCAGCCUGGAAGCAAAGGCUGAGACAGGGUGGGAGAGACACCGACAGUAAAGCUCAGCCAGGUGCAGACUGCAGCCUGGAAGCAAAGGCUGAGACAGGGUGGGAGAGACACUGACAGUAAAGCUCAGCCAGGUGCAGACUGCAGAAUGGAAGCAAAGGCUGAGACAGGGUGGGAGAGACAGGGACAAUAAAGCUCAGCCAGGUGCAGACUGCAGAAUGGAAGCAAAGGCUGAGACAGGGUGGGAGAGACACGGACAGUAAAGCUCAGCCAGGUGCAGACUGCAGCCUGGAAGCAAAGGCUGAGACAGGGUGGGAGAGACAGGGACAAUAAAGCUCAGCCAGGUGCAGACUGCAGAAUGGAAGCAAAGGCUGAGACAGGGUGGGAGAGACACGGACAGUAAAGCUCAGCCAGGUGCAGACUGCAGAAUGGAAGCAAAGGCUGAGACAGGGUGGGAGAGAGACGGACAGUAAAGCUCAGCCAGGUGCAGACUGCAGCCUGGAAGCAAGGGCAGUGCCAUCCUCUUUCGGGGCAUUUCUGGUCACUUCAGUCUGCUGGGGGGAUUCCGUGUCUCACCAGGAGACUCAGGCAUGGACCUGGGUUGCCACUUUCUUCCUGUUACAUGGAUCUCUCUACCAUGCCCCAGACCCAACACCUCAGCCUUCUCAAAGCUGCACUGCAGAAGUUCUAGCCAGAGCAGCCUGGUAAGAGAAAGACGUAAAGAGCAUCCAAAUACUUCCUUCCAAAUGAGGAAGCCAAAUGGUCCUUGUUUGCAUUCAACGUGAUCUUAUAUAUAGAAAACCCUAAAAGCUUUAUCAAAACAUUCUUAGAACAAACAAAUUCAGUAAAGUUGCAGGAUACAAAAUUAACAUACAAAACCCAGUAACAUUUCUACAUACCAAACUACCAAAAAAAACCAGGAAAGCAAUUCCAUUUACAAUAGCUACCAAAACCAAAAAACAAACCUAGGAAUAAAUUUAACCAAUGAGGCUGGGCGCAGUGGCUCAUACCUGUAAUACUAACACUUUGGGAGGCCGAGAUGGUGGAUCACGAGGUCAGGAGAUUGAGACCAUCCUGGCUAAUACAGUGAAACCCCAUCUCUACUAAAAAUACAAAAAAUUAGCCGGGCCUGGUGGCACACACCUGCAGUUCCAGCUAC